rnacentral:tRNA from 2 species
GGUCCGGUAGCUCAGUUGGAUAGAGCGAGCGCCUCCUAAGCGCUAGGUCGCCUGUUCGAAUCAGGUCCGGAUCA